UGCUCUUCCAGCACCACUAAUCCAGGAUCACCAGUCAGGUCAGGCCUACUCUGGAGCUGUUGAACUAUGUAUGUCAGACCUAUGCCAUACCCAGUAGCAAAUUCAUGCUGGCCUUGUGAGACUCCAGAAUAAACUCAAGAGAGUAGAUUACAGCCUUAGCAGCUGAGUCUAUCUGAAGGGCUUUGAUGGAAUCUUAUGCACAUUCAUGAUGAGCAUAUUGUCCAAAAUAGUAUGUAAGGAGAAUAUCCACAAUUAGAUCCAACUGCUCUAUACUCAGUAGUAGCACUGCUUCAAACAGGUUAAAAUUAAAAGCUUGAAGAAGGGCUUAUGCCCGAAACGUCGAUUCUCCUGCUCCUUGGAUGCCACCUGACCUGCUGCGCUUUCCAGCAACGCAUUUUUCAGCUCUGAUCUCCAGCAUCUGCAGUCCUCACUUUCUCCUAAAAUGAAAAACUUUCCAAUCAAAUCUCAAAACAGACAAGGCUGUCUUCUCUCCUGUAUUUUGUUUCUGUGUUGUAAGAAAACCUUUUGGAUGAGUUCAUCAGAAAGAUUGCAAGAUAAGAGGUGAUGAUCUCAGAUUGUGGAGGCAUUCACCCCAAAGCCUUCCUGAACAUGGAGCACAUUCAUGUAUUCUGCUCAAAUCAGUCUGCAGAAUGAUGAGCGUAUUUGACGAGUUUGAAUCUGUCUUAUGAUGUAGAUUAAAUGGCAGUACAGGUGAGGCCAUGUUCUCAGGGUAUUGGGCUGAAUGACAUCUUGUCUGUUUCACUGGUAGAUCAGUUUACUGAAGAUGCUGGGAAUAAAGUUUGGAGAGACGAGAGCAUUCACAAAGAACUUGAACGAUCAUAUAGCUGUAGUAAACCAGUGAAUGUGAGAGCGACACUUCAGAGAUGAGAUGACAGUACAUACUCUUGAUUUCAGGGCAGCUUUUGACCAAGUAUGGCAUCAAGGACUCCAAGCAAAACUGAAAUCAAUGGAAAUUGAGAUGGGGGUACUGUCUGCUAGUCAAAUCAUACCUCACAAAGAAGAAGAUUGUUAUGAUUGUUGGAGGUUGAUCAUCUCAGUCCCAGGACAUCUCUUCAUGACUUCCUUAAUAGUUUCAGAGGCACAGCCAUCAAUAACUUUCCCUCCAUCAUAAGGUCAGGAAUAGGAAAGUUACUGAUAAUUGGACCACUACUCUCAGCUCCCAGAUACUGAAGCAGUCUGUAUCCAUUUAAAGCAAGAUCUGGUCACAUUCAGGCUUGGGCUGAUAAGUGGCAAAUUACAAUCGCACCAUACACGUGACAGGUUAUGACCUUCUUCAAAAAGAGAGAGUCUAACUAUCGCCCCUUGACACUACCAUCAUUAAAUCCUACACUAGCAACAUCCUAGGGUACCAGUGACCAGACAGUGAAUUGGCUACAGGAAGGUUGGAAUUCUUUGGUGAUAAAAUCACUUCUUGUCUCCUCAAAGCCUGUUCAUCAUCUAUAAGGUACAAGUCAGGAAUAUGGUGGAAUACUCCACACUUGACUGGGAGGAUGCAAAUCUAUUAACUCUCACGAAGCUUGACACCAUCCAAGACAAAGCUCGAUCAGCAAUCUAUCUGCCGUCUUCAGUGUUCAUCCUCCUACCAAUAAUAAUUAGUGGUAGCCAUGUGUACCAUCUAAAAGUCGCACUGCAGUAAAUCACUUUCAACAGUAUCAUCCAAAUCCACAAAUUCCAUCACCAAGAAGGAUAAAGGCUAGAAAGAGUGGGACCACCACUAUCUACAGUUCCCUUUCAAUCAUACAGCAUCCUGUCUUUGAAGUAUAUAAUUGUUCCUUCUCUGUUUCUGGGUCAAAAUCCCUUCCGAAGGGAAUUUGUUCCUAAGAGCACUGUGGGUGUUCCUACAACAAUGGACUACAAUGGUUCAAGACAUCAGCUCACCAGAACCUUCUAAAGACUAAUUAGGGAUGGGCAAGAUAUGCUGGACUGACUGUUAAGGUUCACAUCAUACAAGAAACAAACAAAACUAGAUCUUAGCUACGAGAUGCUCAGUUGCUGUAUGUGGAAAAAAUCUGGCACAAAAUUAGUCCUGAAAUAUGCAUUUUCAAGGAAUAUCGUGAAAGAAUGGUAUUUGUCAAGGUUCAUCCUUAAGAUACCAGUCUGUACUCAGCAAACUAUUCCAGAGAUGGCACACUGAGAUAAACAUCUACUGCGGCUAGAACAGCAUCAACAUCAACAAAAAACACUCUUUAGUAUUCCAGUGAUGUCAGAAACUUUCUUGAGCAAUUCACACUUCUGUAUACUUCAAGAAAAGCUAGAAAGAAGCACAGGAAAAGUACAAACAGGAAAGACAUGAUUUACAAACUGUGAUCGAUUUCUGAAAAGCCUUCCAGUUGAGCCAAGGAUUCUUGAAGGAUGUUGUCCCUGACCUUCCUGGGGAGUUAUGACUUCAAAAUGCUGUUUACAGUCGUUUAAUUGCUGCUUUUUAACUUUUGAUGAAAACUUUUGAUGCCCUCAAUGCAAACUCAAUCACAGGGCAAUACUGUGUGGGGAAUUCUUCCAGACAUUAGGUGUCUAAGAAGAUUUUUAAUUCUCACGCCUUUCAGGAUCUGUUGUAUUUCCAAAACAGUAAUUGUAUUCCAACUAGUGUUCUUCAUGGUGCUGUUGAGAUAACACAUCAGUCUGUCUGUUUUUUCGGUCUGAAGUGAAUCGAUAAGAAUCUGCCAUGUGACUUCUGACAGCAUUUUUAAAAAUACUGUGACUAUUUUAGAACAGUGCGUUUGUUGUGAGUGCUAUCGUCAGGUAGAGAAACAAGUAUACAUGCUCAAGAACACAGUGUUGCAGUGUUGUCAUGACCCAGUUACAGGGCACAGGAGCUGUUCGUGGUGCUACCGAUGUAAUUACACAAGUACGUACUGCUGCUGAUUAUACUGAAUUCUGAGGGGCUUGAUUCGAGCUCAGGCCAGAUUUCUUAGUAACUUAAACAGGAAUCAAGGUGCUUCUUCUUCCUUAGCAGCCACUUUCCCCUUGUCCCACCUGGGGUGGAUUGGCAUGAGGAGCCAGAAUGGACUAUGAGAAAAAGCUGAGGCACCACUAAGUAAUAAACGCAUAACUGAUUACUCUGAAAUAAAAAUGGGAAAUCUGCAUAUGAACUGGCAUUGAUGUGACUUACACGUGGAACAUGAUAGCACCAACAGAGAACUUGGAGGCAGAUUCCAAAGACUUGUGACAAGCUGAUGAUUCUGGCCCAAUCUGUAUAUGCACCAACAGCCAUUUUAUCAUCCAUUUGGAUGUUCAGAGUAAUAAUAAUCCAUUCAAAUUAAUCUUCUUUAUAAAAUAUAGAACAUAAUUACAUAUUUGUGAUAGUACGUUGUUCUUCAUUGUUUCUUCUGUCUCUUUCACUCAAUCCCAAAGCCUGUCAGGAGUGUAAUGGAAUGCUCUCCACUUUCCUGGGUUAGUGCGGCUACAACAACACUCAAGAAACUUGACAGUACCCAAGACACAGAAGCUGCUUGAUCGGUACCUCAUCUGCCACUUUAAAUAUUUAUUCCAUCCACCACCAGCACAAAAUGGCAGCAGAGUGUGCCAACCACAAGAUGUAUGACAGCAACUCAUGAAGGCUCCUCCAAAUCCACAACCUCUAGGAAUUAGGUAGACAAGGGUAGUAGAUGCAUGAGAUCAUCAGCAAGUUUUCCUCCAAGCCGCACACUAUCCUGGAAUGGAACCAAUUACCAUUCCUUCACUGUCACUGGGUCAAAAUUUUGGAUCUUUCUCUUAUUAACACUGUGGCUGUGCUGACACCCCAUGGACUGCAGCAGUUCAGUGAAGUGACUCACCAGUACUAUGUCAAG